UACAGAGGGGGCAAGCGUUAUUCGGAAUUAUUGGGCGUAAAGAGCGUGUAGGCGGCCCGUUAGGUCUGCUGUGAAAACUCGAGGCUCAACCUCGAGACGUCGGCGGAAACCAUCUGGCUAGAGUCCGGAAGAGGAGAGUGGAAUUCCUGGUGUAGCGGUGAAAUGCGCAGAUAUCAGGAAGAACACCAGUGGCGAAGGCGGCUCACUGGGACGGUACUGACGCUGAGGCGCGAAAGCGUGGGGAGCGAACAGG
rnacentral:rRNA from 1 species